rnacentral:rRNA from 1 species
UUGGAGAGUUUGAUCCUGGCUCAGGACGAACGCUGGCGGCGUGCCUAAUACAUGCAAGUCGAGCGGACAGAUGGGAGCUUGCUCCCUGAUGUUAGCGGCGGACGGGUGAGUAACACGUGGGUAACCUGCCUGUAAGACUGGGAUAACUCCGGGAAACCGGGGCUAAUACCGGAUGCUUGUUUGAACCGCAUGGUUCAAACAUAAAAGGUGGCUUCGGCUACCACUUACAGAUGGACCCGCGGCGCAUUAGCUAGUUGGUGAGGUAAUGGCUCACCAAGGCAACGAUGCGUAGCCGACCUGAGAGGGUGAUCGGCCACACUGGGACUGAGACACGGCCCAGACUCCUACGGGAGGCAGCAGUAGGGAAUCUUCCGCAAUGGACGAAAGUCUGACGGAGCAACGCCGCGUCGAAGUGAUGAGGUUUUCGGAUCGUAAAGCUCUGUUGUUAGGAAACAAUACCGUUCGAUAAGGCGG